UCAAAACGCAAGCGGUUAUUGGCGUAAUCUUUUGAGCAUCGCUGGUUUUGUGCCUCAAUAUGACGACUCGUGCCUACUUAACGUUAAUGCACAUUUAAUUUGACAAAAAUUGGCUAAUUCCUAUUCAUUUUGGCUCGAGCGGAUGCUGGAGCGAUGCAUUGGGAAUUCUUGCGCUAUAUUAGUUGGUGUAGCUCUCAUUUCAUCCUCAGAGGAGUCAAUAAAGCGAAGCUCAAUUUACACCGACAAAAUUACCAUCAAUUUUAUUUAAUUUUGUUUCCUUUAAUUUCUCCCCAUUCUUCUCAAGCGAAUCAAAUUUCAUCCAUAAGUAUAAUACAUUAUUAAAGUGCUGGGUUGAGAAUAAUUAAAAAAAAUGCGUGGUGUGUUUAAAUUUUUAUUAAAGUUUAUUUUUUCGAUCGUUGUUUGGGUGCAAAAUGAUUUUCAUUUGAAAGUUGUGUCGUCGUUGUCUUAGAGUCUGAGUGAAGUGGAGUGGAGUAACCUGUAUGUGAGCCCUGUGUGAAUCGUGUUUGAUUGAACAGCAAAAUUGCUGACUAGCAUAAAGUGGCUGCUGCAAUAGGUGUCGACCCUCUCUGCAAACACAAUACAUAAGCCGACAAAUUAAACUCCGGAUCGGGUUUGUGAAUAGCGACAUUUCAUAAAAAAGGAUUGGACACAUUGAAUAUAUGGAGAGCUCCUCGAGAAUUAAUCCUUAAUCGGUGUGCUUUCCUGCGAUAUUGAUCCCGAUAUUGGGAUUGGUGCAUGAAAGUCGCGUCGAAAUUUCGUGUAAAAUCGUAACGAUUUCGAGAUCACAUCGAAUCCCUUUGCUGAUAAAUUGGUAUAAUGGGCGAAGUAAUCGGCUCAUUGCACCCUAAGUGUCUGAAAGACCAAGUAAAGAAGUGAUUGUGGGGAAAUGGCUCGGAACGGCGUGAGGAAGGAAACCGCUCGAUCGGAGGAGGAUUGUGUUCGGCUGGUGGCGGCGCGAUACUCCUCCACUCCCGCAUUCUACCCACAAUUAGCAACUCUAAUGCACACCCGGCUUAUCAACUACAUCCAUUGGCAAAAACGCGAAAAUUCCAUUGGCAAAACUUUAAACAACUCAAAAUAACGUAACAAUAUUUCAGUUUUAAUCAACAGGAAAACAUGCAAAGUAUUAUUGUUACUUCUUAUCGCUCGCGUUUGCCAAUAGCUAAAUUUAGAUUAUCAGACAAUAAAUAUGAAUAAAACCUUCUAU